rnacentral:pre_miRNA from 1 species
AGUGAGAUAGCUGGGUCAAAUGGUGUUUCCAUUCCCAGUUUUCUGAGGAAUCUCCAUACUUCUUUCCAUAAUGGUUGCACCAAUUUUCAGUCCCACCAGCAAU